GUGAGGGGGCGAGCGGCGGAGAGAGCGCAGCCCACCGAGCUCCGGCCCCCUCCCCUUUCUCUCUCUGGCCCGGGCCUAUGCGGCCCCCCAGAGACCAUGGGAUCCAGGAUCAACUUGAAUAUGAGGCUGGAACAAACAUGGUUUGCAGUGGUGACACGUCUUCAUGUUCCCAAGACCGUAGACUGGAUAGACAUAAAUGUACUAGUGUCUUAUUUGUGAACCUAAGCUAUAAGCGUCUUUCUUGAAAUAAUCCUGUGUCAGGAGGAUGCUACUGGAGAUGAGGAGUUUGCUAAAGAACAGCCAUGAAAAAUUAAGAGAUUUUACUCAGUUUUCACUCUUCCAUGCAGGAUUCUUGAAGUCAGCACAGACUCCUAAGGUAUUUGCUGACCAAAGAAUGAUGCUUACUUGUCAUCUUUUAUUUAUCUUGUGUUUGGAAAGAUGUCUUCCCAAAGAGUCUUAACAUAAUGAGUAUUAGAAUCUGCAGAUAUUGAUGAAAUUGAUCUGUGAAGUAAUCUUUCUUGCUGUCGGCACACAGGCUUUCUAAGCCAUGAUUUUAAUGAAAAUGAAGAAGUUAACGCUUUUGCCUGUCUGUUGUGGGGAAUAAUUUGGGAACAAAGUACUUGUCACAAACAGAUGAGAAAAAUUUUCAGGCCCUCUCUGGCCUUUAUUUUUACAUUUUAAAUCUUGCUAUUGCAAAAUAAAAUAAUAUCUUUUGGCUGUUAAAACUUCA
rnacentral:lncRNA from 1 species